GGCCCUAUCGUAUAGCGGCCUAGUACGCCGCCCUCUCACGGCGGUAACGCGGGUUCGAAUCCCGCUAGGGUCACCG
rnacentral:tRNA from 2 species